GACGAACGCUGGCGGCGUGGAUUAGGCAUGCAAGUCGGACGGUAGGGCUUUAUCGUAAGAUAGAGUUUGAGAGUGGCGAACGGGUGAGUAACACGUAGGAAUCUACCCUUAAGACGGGGACAACCCAGGGAAACUUGGGCUAAUACCGGAUGUGAGCAACUUUUAGUUGUUUGAAAGGUGGCGUAAGCUGUCGCUUGGGGAUGAGCCUGCGUCCUAUUAGUUAGUUGGUGAGGUAACGGCUCACCUAGGCAAUGAUAGGUAGGCGGCCUUAACGGGUGGUCGCCCACACUGGGAUUGAGAUACGGCCCAGACUCCUACGGGAGCAGCAGUCGAGAAUAGUCUACAAUGGUCGGAAGACUGAUAGUGCGACGCCGCGUGAACGAUGAAUCCCUUCGGGGUGUAAAGUUCUUUUAUAUGUGAGCAGUGCUUCUUAUAUUAACAGUAUGGGGAGAGAGAUAUUAGCAUAUGAAUAAGCAACGGCUAAACUCCGUGCCAGCAGCCGCGGUAAACACG
rnacentral:rRNA from 1 species